GAAAAUGAAUCUUACCAGGAAACUUGCCGCCAUUAGAGCUCCAGAUGAAAGCGCGCAUCGGUUACUAGUUUUGAACUCUCCGGUCACCUCUGAAUCGCCAUCCCCACAUAUUCCGCAAGCAUGGCCAAGCAGUUGUUGCCGAAAAGUCGACCCUGUUUGUUUCUAGCACGAUUCGGACUACCAUUCCAUGACUUUUACUUCUGCUGGCUAGGACAGCAUAAUUUGCUUUCUUCUGUCGGCAAUCAGUAGUCAACAAAUGGUGACAUUCAUUGAUGCCAAACGAGUUUGCCACGAAGAGUGAAGCAUACCGAAUCCAGGGUUCGUCAGAUUCUCGAACGUUGAAAUGGCUCCAAGAAAGGUUUUGUGCCGCUACCUCUAUAAGAACCCAUUUUGACGUGGAACCGUUGCGAUAGUAAGCCGUGAUUCCACCUUGAAAAACGUGAAUACCAUCAUCAGUCAUCUCUGCUGUGGAAAUGGUUUCAUUAGUUCCAUCUUCUUCCCAUUCAACAGUACCGUUGACUCCAAUAAUAUACUCUAUGACCGCUUCUUGUUGAAUAGCUUUUGUGUCGAACGAAGCUGACAAAGCAACAGAGCUGAGUGAGCUCUCUUUCCCUAUGUAACGAAGGCGACACACCCGCUGUUGAAAGCUAUCUAAGCGGAAAUGGCCAGAAUGGCGGCUGAAUUCUUUCAUCAAGCUGGAUAACCAAGCAAAUGCAGGAACGUCUUCUGGCACUUCACUGGCCGUUUCCAGCCGUAAAUUCCGAGUCAGCUGAGCGACAGAUACGAAUGGCGGCCCUGUGAGAUGAACAUUGUAGAGCCCUAGACUUUCUGAAAAAUAAUCCGUUGUCUGACUGGUGAGGGUGUAUGGUUUGACAGAAUAGUAUGCUAUGUCAUACACUCUGUCUGGCGGAGUCCACACCAACGAACCAUUGGAAAUCAAGGAAAUGGGUGCCCGAAUGUCAGCGUGAUGCUCUACGCCAGCUGCCACAUGAUGGCCACUGAACGGAUAUUGAAUCCUUGAUUCGGACGCCCAUGUCAUUGAAAGGCUGGCUGUCACAUUGAUUUCCGGAGUUUGAUUUAUGUGACCAAAAGCUGAAGCCAAAGCGGUUAGCGAGAAAGUGAAUCGUGCGGGCAAUCCCAGCUCCGUCGGUACAUGCGUCCGGCUGUCUAUGAGUUGUUGAAACUUGACGAACCGGAUAUUGAGAUGUUUCGUGAAGAAUUCUCGAAUCAUGUACUCAAGAUCGAUAUCUUCAAGAUUUAAAAGCGUCUGCAUGGUUGAACCGAGGAGUCUUAGAUGAACAAGUCCCACUGUGGACUCGUCACUGGCCCGGAAAGUCGAAAAAAGCUGAUCCCAAAAGACAUUGGACUUCGGCUCAUUGGAUCGUGGAAGAGCAUGUCCCGAGUUGUUUAACCUUCGCAAGAUCGAAGCGGAACGACCCAAGGUUGCGGAAGAGCUGGUGCUCUAGAUAAACAGGCAGAGAAGAGUCGCCCGAUCUCCAAAAUGUCAGCAGUGAUGAAAGCCCUGCUUUGUUGUCGUUGACAGACGCAUAAUGCUCGUAGUCCAAUCGAUCGGAACAAGGGCGCACUAGACCAAUGACGGAACGAGCUUUGAUUGAACUUUAGAAAGGAUAUGAAGAGAAAACCAAAGAUCGGAUAAUAUCGCAAGUAAAUGCUUUAACUUGAAGGCUAGAGUCAAACCAUGUCCGAGAAGCAACCUUAUUCCAAAUACUCUGAGGAGUUUUCUGAUGAAAUAGAAGCAUGGCGAUGGCAGCCAUGCGGAUUUCAGGUGGUUCUGCUACGUUAUCCGCCAACGAACUUAAUAAUGGAAUCACCUGUUCGGAACGAAUGAAUCCAUCAGAUGUUUAAGGGAUGAUAUUGCUGCUAUCCGUAUUGCCACAUUCUCGCCUCGAAGAUAUGGAACGAGAAGAAGAAGAACAUCGUCAACACCUAGCGCUCCUAAAGCUAUUAUUGCUGCUAAACGAUCGAUUGCCGAUUGGGCAGUCUCUAGUUCGCGGACCAGAAGUGGCAGAAAUUCCUCUGUGAUAAUUUGAGAAUCCGCAUUGCAGUUCACUGAUGAUAACACGCAAGUUGUGUACAGCAAGUCAGCUGUCGCCAUUAGCGCUGUAUGCUUCAACAUUUUGGAAUUACGUGCUGCCUCGGACAGUAUAACUCCCUUUACAGCGUCGUAAUAUAGGAAUCGUUGGAUAUUGCACGGAAUGCCCAGAGCUCAUCAGCGUCCAGACAGCUGGAAAUCCCUCAAGCUUUCGUUGCUCAAUGAGGUCUACGAGAAAAACAACCGCCGUAUGACUUCCACUAGCGGCAAUGCAAUCGACGAAUAGGUCCCUGGUGGCCAGCAUUCACGGAUAAAUCGUUAUGUUGUCAAGCAAACAAUGUUUAGUGACGGCACACUGCGUUCACCGAAGACACCUCCGUCCAAUCCAGAACGGACACCGGCAACGUCCAGCUGCAAAUUGGACACUACUGCUUUCUUCAUGUUGACGGACCAUGUUGGCUCUUCACUCUCCACUACCAGCGAAAGGACUGAGGAGGUGAAGUGAAUCGCCGAUGGCCUCUUCUACUCCGUCAGAUAGCCGAUCCGGAAACAAAAUCGGAUCAGAAGACUUGCCUUUGCCUCUGUAAUUGCCAUCGCGCGUGAGCCGUAUCUCAGAGAGCUGGUAUCAUUCAAGGACGUAAAACAUCCAGUCUACCUUGAGCAUUAGUGUUUCAUCGUCAAUGCUUUGGACUGUCAACUUCCCGAUGAUUUGGACGGCUGCGGAUUGAUUGUCCGCGUCCUGAACACCAGUCACUAAGAAGCCACUGUAAUCAUACAGAUGCUACAAAAUUUAGGGCAUCCAACUUGACUGAAGGAAAUGAUUCGACGUUGACGAUGUCAGAGCCAAAUGUCUGAACUGCAAUCGCCGCCGGGAUAUCUGUUAUUAGCCAAGCAAUUUCAAUCAAAAUAAAGCUCGAUUGGAAGUGGAGCGACACAGCUUACAUACCGGAUUUCGUGAGCAAGAACCGGUCCGCCUGGCUCAGCGCCAAAAUCGACCAUUAGUUUCGGAUUAAUCUUGAGACCGCCAACAUUGACGUCCACGUCAAUCUGCAACAAAACGGAUCCUUUUCUAAAUACAAUUAACAAACUAAUUAUUUACGAUUGAGUGCUGGGUUGAUGUUCGGAUAAACCUACUCGACCAUAUCUGGGUAGAACUGACGGUCCCACGGACUGAAAAGGGACGUUGUAACGUACAAUCUCCGACCAUCCAGGGAGAGCUGAAGCAUCUGAGGCCCACCAUAGAAUCUUUUCCCAUUCACAACCAAUGGUUCCGGCUAUUAAUUAAAUUACAUUAUUCAAUACUCAUUGGACCAGAGCCACUUUUUAAUGAGAAAAAAAAGGUUGCCAACCGACCGCUUUGACAUUGUCUUCCAAGAUAGUUACACCCCCGCCACUCACAGCACUUCCACCAACAUAAAUCUGGCCUACCAGUCGAGGCUUAGCUGGGUCGCUUAUAUCAUACUGUCGGAUAUCACCUGGAAAAUUUUACUGCUAUUAUAUUUCAUAAUUGUAAAUUUUAAUCAAACAAUUGUAAUACCCUGCACCCAGUUUGAAAGAUAGAGAAAACGAUCGUCCAAUGAUAUUAAUAUGUCUGUGAUUAUUCCAGGCAUGGAUGGAAGAGCCCAGCCGGAGACUUUCCAUGAUGGCACAUCGAUGACUUUAUCCGCCUUCCAUGUUCCAUCUUCCACUUGAUGAAAACUAUUAGUACCGAAAGACAUUGGCUGUCAAUGCACAACCAACGAAUCCAGUUUUGGCAGUCGGUUCAUGGAGGAAACGGAUUUCAAGUGGCAUCAGACCCUCACUACCCAAAUCCAAGGAACGAGGAGCUGUUGAGCCAACUACGUGAAAAAAAUAUAUAAUUCGUCAAGUCCUUGACAUACCUGUAGAUACGUGAUCCAUGGAGAAUCCAGUACAAAAAGCUGCAGGAGAACCCCAUUCCGAAGAAAUCUUGAAUAAUGAUAAAGAAGAAAUUGUAUUACAAACAUCUAGAAGCUUGAACAAAGGCCGCGUUUACACCUACCAUAACGUUAUGCCGUGGCUGAUACCAGAAAUCAUAACCAAAAUUCGUGGACGUCUCACUCCAUAAGCCUUCAAAAACAAUCAGAGCCUUUGGCUUCCCGACGUGCAUUUCCCAUCGUAGACACCAUCACAUUUCCGUCAGCAAGGCAGUGAAGAGUAUGCGGCGCGCUAAGAUCGAGAUCAUGCAGUUCCUUUGGUUCGAUGAUCUACCAGGGCUCUUGGGUUUUUGGAAACAUUGAUCACGUACAUCCGGUCACUAAUCAGACCGGCAAAGACGAUAUAAUCACGUGAUUGUGAGGAAUCGUUGUAGCAGCUGCUACAGGAAUUCCAACCACUGUGAUGUAAUUCGUCAUUCUCGUAAGGCAUAAAUAGAAUCAUUCACUUGGCUGUAGGUCGAGCUGCUUGGAUCGACGUCAACCGUGGCUACGUAAUCAUGCUUGCCUUUUUCCCCUUGGAUGCACGGUAUAUACAGAAUUUUUUCUGUAGCACCUUUCAUAGCUUCCAAAGGCGUCGCGUAACCGGGACCGCAAGCGCAGCCUCUCUUUCCUUCGUCUAAACGUUAUCGGUAAAUUCUAUUUUAGGUUCGAUAUAGCUUUAUAAUUAGGUAUUCUGCCAAAGUGUGUAACAGUAGCAGUCAUCUAUCUGGCGGUAGAUGUACUCUAGGGAGUUUAUUUACGUGCCAUGGAUGACACAGACCUGAGAUAUCAGUUGUGCUAAUAAAAAACUGAACAUGA
rnacentral:lncRNA from 1 species